UAAGCCACUAAUAUAAACGGACAGUUCGUUAAACCUUACAUAUUAUAAUGUAAGUUUUAAUACAAGCUCGCCAAUUUCAUUAUGAUCAGGUUAUUUUCAUAAAGUAUUUCGAUACUUUCAAAUUUCAAUUCAUCGGAGUGAGAUGAUAAGAUGGAGAUGAAUGAAGAUAGCUGUUUCUUCGGCGAUGGCGGCACUCUAGCUACGUUUCACCGGAAGAGUAGAUGUGUACGAUUCUGGCUGUAUUCUGGAGCGUUUCCUCAUGGGCGUCGCAGUUCACACACGUCACGGAUUCCGCUGAAGGAGUCGAUAAUUAAAGCUGAACUUUUGGAUCGGAGAUAUGAAGACGCGCGCUGCAUUUUCCUUGGCGGAGAUGCACAGCUCUGACACUAGACAAUAUUAUACACUCGAAGGGAACGCGUUUUGCCGGAAGAAUAAAUAAUUACUGAACAAAAAAAUAAUAAGCCACUAAUAUAAACGGACAGUUCGUUAAACCGUAUAUAUUAUAAUUUUCAGUUCAUCGGAGUGAGAUGAUUAGAUGGAGAUGGAUGAAGAUAGCUGUUUCUUCGGCGAUGGCGGCACUCUAGCUACGUUACACCGGAAGAGUAGAUGUUUACGAAUCGACCAUCGUACAGAUGAUGAUAUUCCACCUUGACAGCUGUACAUAACAGAGGUGAUUAGAUAUCAGGUUUUACUGUCUUAGCAGAUCUAUUAUAGUUAGGUAAU